GAUCAUGGCUCAGGAUGAACGCUAGCUACAGGCUUAACACAUGCAAGUCGAGGGGCAGCGGGAUUGAAGCUUGCUUCAAUUGCCGGCGACCGGCGCACGGGUGAGUAACGUGUAUCCAACCUUCCGUACACUCAGGGAUAGCCUUUCGAAAGAAAGAUUAAUACCUGAUGGUAUCUUAAGCACACAUGUAAUUAAGAUUAAAGAUUUAUAGGUGUACGAUGGGGAUGCGUUCCAUUAGGUAG
rnacentral:rRNA from 1 species